rnacentral:rRNA from 1 species
ACGCUGGCGGCAUGCCUUACACAUGCAAGUCGAACGGCAUCACGGAUCUUGCUCUGGUGGCGAGUGGCGAACGGGUGAAUAAUAUAUCGGAACGUACCCUAUAGUGGGGGAUAACGUACCGAAAGUUACGCUAAUACCGCAUACGAUCUAAGGAUGAAAGUGGGGGAUCGCAAGACCUCAUGCUCGUGGAGCGGCCGAUAUCUGAUUAGCUAGUUGGUAGGGUAAAAGCCUACCAAGGCAUCGAUCAUUAGCUGGUCUGAGAGGACGACCAGCCACACUGGAACUGAGACACGGUCCAGACUCCUACGGGAGGCAGCAGUGGGGAAUUUUGGACAAUGGGCGAAAGCCUGAUCCAGCAAUGCCGCGUGAGUGAAGAAGGCCCUCGGGUUGUAAAGCUCUUUUGUCAGGGAAGAAACGGUGAGAGCUAAUAUCUCUUGCUAAUGACGGUACCUGAAGAAUAAGCACCGGCUAACUACGUGCCAGCAGCCGCGGUAAUACGUAGGGUGCAAGCGUUAAUCGGAAUUACUGGGCGUAAAGCGUGCGCAGGCGGUUUUGUAAGUCUGAUGUGAAAUCCCCGGGCUCAACCUGGGAAUUGCAUUGGAGACUGCAAGGCUAGAAUAUGGCAGAGGGGGGUAGAAUUCCACGUGUAGCAGUGAAAUGCGUAGAUAUGUGGAGGAACACCGAUGGCGAAGGCAGCCCCACUGGGUCAAGAUUGACGCUCACGCACGAAAGCGUGGGGAGCAAAC